rnacentral:rRNA from 1 species
CCUACGGGAGGCAGCAGUAAGGAAUAUUGGUCAAUGGACGAGAGUCUGAACCAGCCAAGUAGCGUGAAGGAUGACUGCCCUAUGGGUUGUAAACUUCUUUUAUAGGGGAAUAAAAUGUUCCACGUGAGGGAUUUUGUAUGGACCAUAUGAAUAAGGAGCGGCUAACUCCGUGCCAGCAGCCGCGGUAAUACGGAGGAUCCGAGCGUUCUCCGGAUUUCUUGGGUUUAAAGGGUGCGUAGGCUGUGAGGUAAGUCAGCGGUGAAAUGCCCCCGCUCAACGGGGUGAAGUGCCAUUGCUACUGCCUUGCUGGACUGCGGAUGCCGUGGUCGGCAUGUGUGGUGUAGCGGU